rnacentral:rRNA from 1 species
GGCUUGUUGAUUAUAAUUUCAGGUCUGGCCUGCUCAAUGAGUUUUUAAAUGGCCGCGGUAUAUUGACUGUGCAAAGGUAGCAUAAUAAUUAGUUUUUUAAUUGAAAGCUUGUAUGAAAGGUUUGAUGAGAGAGUAGCUGUCUCUAUAAAAUUUUUACUAGAAUUUUAUUUUUAAGUAAAAAAGCUUAAAUGUUUGUUGAAGACGAGAAGACCCUAUAGAGUUUUAUAUUUAUCUAAAUAAAUUAUAUAAUGGAUUAAAAGAUUUUUUGUUUAUUUAAGUAUUUUGUUGGGGUGACAGAAAAAUUAGUGAAACUUUUUUUAAAUUGAAAACAUUUAUUUAUGAAUUGUUGAUCCUUUUAUGAAGAUUAUAAGACUAAAUUACCUUAGGGAUAACAGCGUAAUUUUUCUUAGAGUUCUUAUCGAAUGGGAAGUUUGCGACCUCGAUGUUGGAUUAAAAUUUAUUGUUGGUGUAGAAGCUAAAUAAUUAGGUCUGUUCGACCUUUAAAAUUUUACAUGAUCUGAGUUUAGACCGGUGUGAG